UGGGGAAUAUUGCACAAUGGGCGAAAGCCUGAUGCAGCGACGCCGCGUGAGGGAUGACGGCCUUCGGGUUGUAAACCUCUUUCAGCAGGGAAGAAGCGAAAGUGACGGUACCUGCAGAAGAAGCGCCGGCUAACUACGUGCCAGCAGCCGCGGUAAUACGUAGGGCGCAAGCGUUGUCCGGAAUUAUUGGGCGUAAAGAGCUCGUAGGCGGUUAGUCGCGUCUGCUGUGAAAACUCGAGGCUCAACCUCGGGCUUGCAGUGGGUACGGGCUGACUAGAGUGCGGUAGGGGCGACUGGAAUUCCUGGUGUAGCGGUGGAAUGCGCAGAUAUCAGGAGGAACACCGAUGGCGAAGGCAGGUCACUGGGCCGCAACUGACGCUGAGGAGCGAAAGCAUGGGGAGCGAACAGGAUUAGAUACCCUGGUAGUCCAUGCCGUAAACGUUGGGCACUAGGUGUGGGUCCAUUCCACGGAUUCCGUGCCGCAGCAAAGCGCAUUAAGUGCCCCGCCUGGGGAGUACGGCCGCAAGGCUAAAACUUAAAUGAAUUGACGGGGUCAUAGCUGUUUCCU
rnacentral:rRNA from 1 species